GAUGAAGAACGCAGCGAAAUGCGAUAAGUAAUGUGAAUUGCAGAAUUCAGUGAAUCAUCGAAUCUUUGAACGCACAUUGCGCCCCCUGGUAUUCCGGGGGGCAUGCCUGUUCGAGCGUCAUUUCACCACUCAAGCCUCGCUUGGUAUUGGGCAACGCGGUCCGCCGCGUGCCUCAAAUCGACCGGCUGGGUCUUCUGUCCCCUAAGCGUUGUGGAAACUAUUCGCUAAAGGGUGUGCGGGAGGCUACGCCGUAAAACAACCCCAUUUCUAAGGUUGACCUCGGAUCAGGUAGGGAUACCCGCUGAACUUAAGCAUAUCAAUAAGCGGAGGA
rnacentral:misc_RNA from 1 species